GCGGGAGUACCCUAGCGGUCAAUGGGGCCAGGCUCAGGACCUGGUGGCUUAGUGCCUUCGUCGGUUCAAACCGGGCUUUUCGCGAGGUGCUCGACGCACACUUGGUGUGCGUCAGUUCGCGUAGAAAAGCACGGGUGCAAAAGAAACGUUGCGCCCACCGUGGUUUUCCGACCUCCCGCACCA
rnacentral:tRNA from 1 species